rnacentral:rRNA from 1 species
AGCGAACAGACGAGGAGCUUGCUCCUCUGACGUUAGCGGCGGACGGGUGAGUAACACGUGGAUAACCUACCUAUAAGACUGGGAUAACUUCGGGAAACCGGAGCUAAUACCGGAUAAUAUAUUGAACCGCAUGGUUCAAUAGUGAAAGACGGUUUUGCUGUCACUUAUAGAUGGAUCCGCGCCGCAUUAGCUAGUUGGUAAGGUAACGGCUUACCAAGGCGACGAUGCGUAGCCGACCUGAGAGGGUGAUCGGCCACACUGGAACUGAGACACGGUCCAGACUCCUACGGGAGGCAGCAGUAGGGAAUCUUCCGCAAUGGGCGAAAGCCUGACGGAGCAACGCCGCGUGAGUGAUGAAGGUCUUCGGAUCGUAAAACUCUGUUAUUAGGGAAGAACAAAUGUGUAAGUAACUAUGCACGUCUUGACGGUACCUAAUCAGAAAGCCACGGCUAACUACGUGCCAGCAGCCGCGGUAAUACGUAGGUGGCAAGCGUUAUCCGGAAUUAUUGGGCGUAAAGCGCGCGUAGGCGGUUUUUUAAGUCUGAUGUGAAAGCCCACGGCUCAACCGUGGAGGGUCAUUGGAAACUGGAAAACUUGAGUGCAGAAGAGGAAAGUGGAAUUCCAUGUGUAGCGGUGAAAUGCGCAGAGAUAUGGAGGAACACCAGUGGCGAAGGCGACUUUCUGGUCUGUAACUGACGCUGAUGUGCGAAAGCGUGGGGAUCAAACAGGAUUAGAUACCCUGGU